rnacentral:tRNA from 1 species
AAAUCCGUCGAAUUUUAAAAUNCGUGAGGGUUCAAGUCCCUCUAUCCCCA